rnacentral:rRNA from 1 species
GAUGAACGCUGGCGGCGUGCCUAAUACAUGCAAGUCGAGCGAACAGAUAAGGAGUUUGCUCCUUUGACGUUAGCGGCGGACGGGUGAGUAACACGUGGGUAACCUACCUAUAAGACUGGGAUAACUUCGGGAAACCGGAGCUAAUACCGGAUAAUAUUUCGAACCGCAUGGUUCGAUAGUGAAAGAUGGUUUUGCUAUCACUUAUAGAUGGACCCGCGCCGUAUUAGCUAGUUGGUAAGGUAACGGCUUACCAAGGCGACGAUACGUAGCCGACCUGAGAGGGUGAUCGGCCACACUGGAACUGAGACACGGUCCAGACUCCUACGGGAGGCAGCAGUAGGGAAUCUUCCGCAAUGGGCGAAAGCCUGACGGAGCAACGCCACGUGAGUGAUGAAGGUCUUCGGAUCGUAAAACUCUGUUAUUAGGGAAGAACAUACGUGUAAGUAACUGUGCACGUCUUGACGGUACCUAAUCAGAAAGCCACGGCUAACUACGUG